rnacentral:rRNA from 1 species
AAAUUGAAGAGUUUGAUCAUGGCUCAGAUUGAACGCUGGCGGCAGGCCUAACACAUGCAAGUCGAACGGUAACAGGAAGCAGCUUGCUGCUUUGCUGACGAGUGGCGGACGGGUGAGUAAUGUCUGGGAAACUGCCUGAUGGAGGGGGAUAACUACUGGAAACGGUAGCUAAUACCGCAUAAUGUCGCAAGACCAAAGAGGGGGACCUUCGGGCCUCUUGCCAUCGGAUGUGCCCAGAUGGGAUUAGCUAGUAGGUGGGGUAAAGGCUCACCUAGGCGACGAUCCCUAGCUGGUCUGAGAGGAUGACCAGCCACACUGGAACUGAGA